ensembl:lncRNA
UGAUUUCUAUAUUCUUUAUCUUUUGCCUUUACUCUAGUUAGUAAUAAAUACUUAAUCACAAAGCAAGCUCAAGAUACUUUUGAUUUCUCACAUGGGCUAAAUCCACAAAUUUCCACCACAAACUUGGCGACGAGGAUGGGAUGGACGCGUGAUCUGGACUCUGAUGGACGGACAGAAGGCCAUAUAGUAUAAGUGAUUCCUCCCUGAGGGUGAGAAGCUGCCGUCCCGACGAGACCCGGAUUGCCGAUCCAUUCAGUUCAAGAAAAGAAACAAAGAACGCGCACUGCACGGAGAGGUACAGCACCACCUGAAACCAGGAGACUGGGUCCUCAUUAAGGAUCACUGGAGAAAGCACUGGAAGCAGAGACGCUACACGGGGCCCUUCCAAGUACCCCUGACCACGGAGACGGCAGUAAGGUGGAAGGGAAAGCAACGUGGGUCCACGCCAGCCACUGCAAACGCAUCCCGGAUCCAGGAGGCGAAGGAGCACAUCCAUCUGGUUCCGGUUAAGGGGUUGCAGGGUGGAGAGCCCUCCCCCACUGCAGUGUUCCAAGACACCAACGGGCCCAGCAGAGAUGGCAGAGACGGCAGGGACGGCAGAGACGACGGCCACCCGGAGAACAGCGAUAAAAGACAGAUCUCCAGCGCCAAAGAACACUUAGGAAGCAUGGUUGGAGCCUGAGAAUGAACAUGUGCAUAUCACUGACGCUGGCAACAUUUGUGCUGAUUCCCCUCACGAUCAAUGAACUACAACCUCCUUAUGUGAACAUCACGGAUUCCAGCCUUUCCACCUCUCCAAUAGAGAAUUUCAGGAAGUUUCCACUGUCCAGCAAAACAAUGCGACGAGACAGAGUGUUUGCUCUACACAAUCGAACAUGAUGCAUGGGUUAAAAUAGAAAGUCACUUAAAUGAAAUUGUGUAUGUUGCCAGGUUGGGAGAAGAAUAUGUACUGUGUGGGUGCCCGGAAGAUUUGGUUUAGGAGAUCCACCAUUCUGGUGCAGUAAACCACGAUCGUGUCAGGAGAUACCAGCCCACACUGGCUCCAGCAACUGGAGGGAGGCAUGCAAAAGAACUUACCGGCCUGUCAGCGAGACACAGCCUAAAACAGUACCACCUGAAAUCAUUUACGAGGCCGUUAAACCACAGGCCCUGACCUCCUGCAGGCCAGAACAGCCCCCA